CACUUGACGUCAUCCCGUCACGCAGGCGGGAUGUUGUUUCUCAGUUAUCACAAGAAGGGAAGCUUCCAGACACUUGGAGACCUUGAAAGUCCCCCUCAAAGGAUUGAGUGCACAUUCUGCAUAAGGCCUUACCUUGGAGGAUCCAGAGAAAGGUCCAAGAGGAGCUGACUUUUGAAAUGAACUUCCUUUGAAUGUCUACAAGUAAGAUGGCUCCAUAAUUUAUCAUCCAAGUCUGAACCUUUUUGGAGGUAAAAGUAUGUGCUAUUCAUAAUUACACUGGGGUAACAGGCAUGAGAUGAAACUGUCUCAGGUGAACAGGGGCAUAUGGGUCACUCUGCCUAUAACUAACUGACUUUAGAAUCAGUCUUGGAUUUAAGUUUCUUCUUUAGUUUUAUUAACUAUAUGACUUUGAGUCAACUGUAAAGCCAAGGUUAUUAUAGAUACCUCAUAGCACAGUUGUGAAGAUCAAAUGAAAUAUAGUAUGUAUAUAUAGCUUAGCUCAGGUUUUGUGGUGGGUAGCCUCUGAAAUGGUCCCCAGUGAUCUCUGCUGGUAGUCCCCAAUAGAAUCCCAUCCUUUGAGUGAGGACUGGACCUAGUGACUUGAUUCUAAAGAAUAGAAUGUGGUAAAAGUGAUGGGUUGUCACUGUUGAGAUUAGCUUUAGAAGGCUGGCUUCUGUUUUGCUCUCUCAGUUCUCAUUUUGGGAGAAGCAAGCUGCUAUAUAGUGUGUAGCUCUGUGGAGUGGUCCAUAUAGCAAGGAAUAGAUAUUAUUAGUUAACAGGUAAUGAGGACUCAGGGCCAGCUGAUAACCAUGAGAGUGAACUUGGUAGCAAAUCUUCUCCUAUUUGAGCCUUGAUGUGAGAUUGCAGCCUUGGGUAAGAACUUGAUUGCAGCCUUGUGAGGAAAGCUAAAUCAGAGGCACCCACCUAAGCCAUGCCCAGAUUCCUGAUCCUGAAACAGUUUUUUUUUUGUUUAUUAAGUUUUUAUUUUAAUGCCAGUGUAGUUAAUAUUCAGCAUUAUAUGAGUUUCAGGUGUACAAUAUAGGGAUUCAACAAUUCCAUAUAUCAGCUGGUGCUCAUCAUGACCAGUGCACUCCU